rnacentral:rRNA from 1 species
GAUGAACGCUGGCGGCGCGCCUAACACAUGCAAGUCGAACGAUUAAAGCACCUUCGGGUGUGUAUAAAGUGGCGAACGGCUGAGUAACACGUGGGCAACCUGCCCCUUUCAUUUGGAUAGCCACGGGAAACCGUGGAUAAUACCGAAUACUUCGAGACUUCCGCAUGGAAGACCCGAGAAAGCUCCGGCGGAGCGGGAUGGGCGCGGGGCCUGUUAGCUUGUUGGUGGGGUAACGGCCUACCACGGCAAGGAGGGGUAGCUGGGUUGAGAGCUCGACCAGCCAGAUUGGGACUGAGAGACGGCCCAGACUGCUACGGGAGGCAGCAGUGGGGAAUCUUGCACAAUGGGCGAAAGCCUGAUGCAGCGACGCCGCGUGCGGGAUGAAGGCCUUCGGGUUGUAAACCGCUUUCAGCAGGGACGAGGCGAAAGUGACGGUACCUGCAGAAGAAGCCCCGGCUAACUACGUG